AUUGAACGCUGGCGGCAGGCCUAACACAUGCAAGUCGAACGAGUGGCGGACGGGUGAGUAAUGUCUGGGAAAAUGCAUGAUGGAGGGGGAUAACUACUGGAAACGGUAGCUAAUACCGCAUACCAUCGGAUGUGCCCAGAUGGGAUUAGCUAGUAGGUGGGGUAAAGGCUCACCUAGGCGACGAUCCCUAGCUGGUCUGUGAGGAUGACCAGCCACACUGUAACGUCGCGACGGUCCAGACUCCUACGUGAGGCAGCAGUGGGGAAUAUUGCACAAUGGGCGCAAGCCUGAUACAGCCAUGCCGCGUGUAUGAAGAAGGCCUUCGGGUUGUAAAGUACUUGCGGCGGGGGUGCGUUACCAGGGGAAGGAGGACCGGCUAACUCCAUGCCAGCAGCCGCGGUAAUAC
rnacentral:rRNA from 1 species